rnacentral:rRNA from 1 species
AGGGUUUGAUUCUGGCUCAGGAUGAACGCUGGCGGCGUGCCUAACACAUGCAAGUCGAACGAAGAAUAACAGCGGAAGUUUUCGGAUGGAAGCGGUUAUUCUGAGUGGCGGACGGGUGAGUAACGCGUGGAUAACCUGCCUCAUACAGGGGGACAACAGUUAGAAAUGACUGCUAAUACCGCAUAAGCGCACGAGAUCGCAUGGUCUUGUGUGAAAAACUCCGGUGGUAUGAGAUGGAUCCGCGUCUGAUUAGCUAGUUGGUAGGGUAACGGCCUACCAAGGCGACGAUCAGUAGCCGACCUGAGAGGGUGACCGGCCACAUUGGGACUGAGACACGGCCCAA